GCCAGAUUAAUUGAUUUUCAUAUUUAUACUGUUUGUUGUAUUUUUUAAUUUAAAUACUUGUAUAUUGUAUUAAAAAGACAGAGCAUGAAUUUGACUGUGAGCAUCUAACUGUGGAAAAUAUAUGAAAAUACUUAGAGUGCAGGGCAUUGGGUUUUCUCUUUCAAUGUGUUCACUGCGAGUUAAUUGAAUGUCACAGCGGGAUGCCAUGGCCAGGGUGAAAGCAGCCGAUCCCAGUUGUACAGUGUCCGCGCUAUUUGUUAUCAAAGUGGGUCAGAAUUUUUGAAAAACCCACGCCAUUUUACAAAGAGCAAGGAUCUAGAAUGGGGGAUAUUUUCGGUAAAUGGGCUAAUCCCAGACCUUGACUACAGUGUACCAUUCCAGAGUGAGAAGCUUAUUAAAGUUCUAUUGUGUUGAUGUCAGCCGAAGAUGACUUUCAUGGUGUAUCAAGCAUAUAGGGCUAAGAAAUUCAAUGAAACACACCUGCUGCAACUAUAACAAUCAAAAUGUGUGAAAACUUUUCAGACAGUUGUGAAACUGUGACCAUUGGGAUGCUGUGAAGUCUUGAUAUCUAAAGACAAUGGAUUAAACAGUGGAUUUAUAUCAUUCAUUUUGUGAAGUAUAGUUCUGUGAUAAUACAGUUGGAAAAUUUUAAA